rnacentral:rRNA from 1 species
AGUGAACGCUGGCGGUAGGCCUAACACAUGCAAGUCGAACGGCAGCACAGUAAGAGCUUGCUCUUACGGGUGGCGAGUGGCGGACGGGUGAGGAAUACAUCGGAAUCUACUUUUUCGUGGGGGAUAACGUAGGGAAACUUACGCUAAUACCGCAUACGACCUACGGGUGAAAGCAGGGGAUCUUCGGACCUUGCGCGAUUGAAUGAGCCGAUGUCGGAUUAGCUAGUUGGCGGGGUAAAGGCCCACCAAGGCGACGAUCCGUAGCUGGUCUGAGAGGAUGAUCAGCCAAACUGGAACUGAGACACGGUCCAGACCCCUAGGGGGGGGAGAGGUGGGGAAUUUUGGCAAAUGGGGGCAAGCCUGACCCAGCCAUCCCGGGGGGGUGAAGAAGGCCUGCGGGUUUUAAAGCCCUUUUUUUGGGAAAAAAAAGCAGCAGGUUAAUACCCCGCUGUUCGGGCGGUACCAAAAAAAUAAGCACCGGCUAACUUCGU